GCAGCAGCCGCGGUAAAACGUAGGAGGCAAGCGUUAUCCGAAUUCACUGGGCGUAAAGCGCGUGCAGGCGGCAAGGUAAGUUGGAUGUAAAAUCUCCCGGCUCAACUGGGAGGGGACGUUCAAAACUACCUGGCUAGAGGACGGUAGAGGAAGGUGGAAUUCCCGGUGUAGUGGUGAAAUGCGUAGAUAUCGGGAGGAACACCCGUGGCGAAAGCGGCCUUCUGGACCGUACCUGACGCUCAGACGCGAAAGCUAGGGGAGCAAACGGGAUUAGAAACCCCGGUAGUCCUAGCUGUAAACGAUGUAGACUGGGUGUGGGAAGGGUAAAAGCUUUCCGUGCCGAAGCUAACGCGAUAAGUCUACCGCCUGGGGACUACGGCCGCAAGGUUAAAACUCAAAGGAAUUGACGGGGGCCCGCACA
rnacentral:rRNA from 1 species